GUCUCAUCUCUGAAGAACUGCAUUCUGGGUAUGAAAAUGCUGAUGAGCUUCUCUCAGCAAAAGAGUUCAAGACUGCAUAUUAUGAUGAUGUCACCAACAGCAGUGGCCUAAAAGAAGAGAUGGUGAAGGAAAUCACACUGGGAUACUAUGAUGAUGU